GUUAACUACACUAGUAUUCUGGUUUAGUAUUAAUUCUGGAUUAGCAUGCCCUUGUUCUUCCUAAUUUAUCAAACUUGACAUAAAUAUAUUUUCAAUUGCAAGAUAAAGUAUUUCAAUUGCAAAGUAUAUAUAAAUUAUGAUAAUGCACCUAUACUUCAUAUAUUGAAUGGCAAAAGCUACUUAUGCAUAAGUAUUUCAAGUAUUAUAAUAAAGUGUAAAUUCUCUUCUGACAUAUAAUUAUAGAUUUUAAAGAUAUGGGACUGUUUAUUUUCAUGUAAGUCAAUACUUGUUUCUGUUGAACAAUAUAUUUCAUUUAGAAAAGCUUUAUAAAUUGUAUUAAAAGGAAGCAGGAAACAUUUUUUAAUAGAACAGAAAAGACUUCAUUCUUUUUUGACAUCAGAAAUGUUAAAAGUUGAUUCCUAGUAUUUGUUGUACUUUUUUGUAGUAAAUGUUAAAUGUCACAGUUACCACGUGUAGAAUGUAGACUGUCAUCUUGAUAGAUUAUACAGUGAUAUACCUUUUUGUCUGCAGGCAUUUCACCAAUUUAUAUACAGUAUUAUACUAACAAGUGGAAUAUUUGUUUCUUUCUAGAACAACAUAUUUUAUUUCUACUGUGAAGACUUUGUUAUAUCUUAUUUGCUACAAAGUUAUAUACCCUCUGAAACAGAUCAAAUUAUUGCUACUUUGACUUAGCAUUUGCAUCAUAGACAUGAUGUUUCUUUCAUGUUCCCUUCCAAGGG
rnacentral:lncRNA from 1 species